AGCGAACGCUGGCGGCAGGCCUAACACAUGCAAGUCGAACGAAGUCUUCGGACUUAGUGGCGGACGGGUGAGUAACACGUGGGAACGUGCCUUUAGGUUCGGAAUAACUCAGGGAAACUUGUGCUAAUACCGAAUGUGCCCUUCGGGGGAAAGUUUUAUCGCCUUUAGAGCGGCCCACGUCUGAUUAGAUAGUUGGUGGGGUAAUGGCCCACCAAGGCUACGAUCAGUAGCUGGUCUGAGAGGAUGACCAGCCACAUUGGGACUGAGACACGGCCCAAACUCCUACGGGAGGCAGCAGUGGGGAAUCUUGCGCAAUGGGCGAAAGCCUGACGCAGCCAUGCCGCGUGGAUGAUGAAGGUCUUAGGAUUGUAAAAUCCUUUCACCGGUGAAGAUAAUGACUGUAGCCGGAGAAGAAGCCCCGGCUAACUUCGUGCCAGCAGCCGCCGUAAUAC
rnacentral:rRNA from 1 species